rnacentral:rRNA from 1 species
AGAGUUUGAUCCUGGCUCAGAUUGAACGCUGGCGGCAGGCUUAACACAUGCAAGUCGAGCGGAAACGAUGGAGCUUGCUCCAGGCGUCGAGCGGCGGACGGGUGAGUAACGCGUAGGAAUUUGCCCAAUAGUGGGGGAUAGCCCGGGGAAACCCGGAUUAAUACCGCAUACGCCCUACGGGGGAAAGCAGGGGAUCUUCGGACCUUGCGCUAUUGGAGAAGCCUGCGUGAGAUUAGCUUGUUGGUGGGGUAAAGGCCUACCAAGGCGACGAUCUCUAGCUGGUCUGAGAGGAUGAUCAGCCACACCGGAACUGAGACACGGUCCGGACUCCUACGGGAGGCAGCAGUGGGGAAUAUUGGACAAUGGGCGCAAGCCUGAUCCAGCCAUGCCGCGUGUGUGAAGAAGGCCUUCGGGUUGUAAAGCACUUUAAGUAGGGAGGAAGGCCCUGUAGUUAAUACCUGCAGGGAUUGACGUUACCUACAGAAUAAGCACCGGCUAACUCCGUGCCAGCAGCCGCGGUAAUACGGAGGGUGCGAGCGUUAAUCGGAAUUACUGGGCGUAAAGCGCGCGUAGGCGGCUUCGUCAGUCAGAUGUGAAAGCCCCAGGCUCAACCUGGGAACUGCAUUUGAUACUGCGGAGCUAGAGUAUGGUAGAGGAUAGUGGAAUUCCAGGUGUAGCGGUGAAAUGCGUAGAUAUCUGGAGGAACAUCAGUGGCGAAGGCGACUGUCUGGACCAAUACUGACGCUGAGGUGCGAAAGCGUGGGGAGCAAACAGGAUUAGAUACCCUGGUAGUCCACGCCGUAAACGAUGUCUACUAGCCGUUGGGGAACUUGAUUCUUUAGUGGCGCAGCUAACGCACUAAGUAGACCGCCUGGGGAGUACGGCCGCAAGGUUAAAACUCAAAUGAAUUGACGGGGGCCCGCACAAGCGGUGGAGCAUGUGGUUUAAUUCGAUGCAACGCGAAGAACCUUACCAGGUCUUGACAUCCUAGGGACUUUCCAGAGAUGGAUUGGUGCCUUCGGGAACCUAGAGACAGGUGCUGCAUGGCUGUCGUCAGCUCGUGUCGUGAGAUGUUGGGUUAAGUCCCGUAACGAGCGCAACCCUUGUCCUUAGUUGCCAGCGCGUAAUGGUGGGAACUCUAAGGAGACUGCCGGUGACAAACCGGAG